AGAUUAAGUUCUAAAAAGCUCCUCAACUCAUCCGUCAUAAGCCCUUCAGAGACUGAGUUACACUGAUUUAGAGCGUCUAAAGACGAUUCAAAAGGAUGAAAAGCAGUUAGCUGAACCACUUUACCAAAACGAUUGAGAUCUGCGACGGAGCUGCGAACAGCGUCCGUGUUCUGCCCAAUUUCAUCAAGACCAUUAGCGAGAAAGAGACUGUAACCAGAAGCCGACUCAUAUAAUAAAUACAGAGUCAUGGUUGAAAUUUAGGCACCUAAACACAAACAAUAUGAGUUAUAGCCUUUGCUUCCUUUCUCUGUUAUCGGCG
rnacentral:misc_RNA from 1 species